rnacentral:rRNA from 1 species
GACGAACGCUGGCGGCAGGCUUAACACAUGCAAGUCGAGCGGGCGUAGCAAUACGUCAGCGGCAGACGGGUGAGUAACGCGUGGGAACGUACCUUUUGGUUCGGAACAACACAGGGAAACUUGUGCUAAUACCGGAUAAGCCCUUACGGGGAAAGAUUUAUCGCCGAAAGAUCGGCCCGCGUCUGAUUAGCUAGUUGGUGAGGUAACGGCUCACCAAGGCGACGAUCAGUAGCUGGUCGAGAGGAUGAUCAGCCACAUUGGGACUGAGACACGGUCCAGACUCCUACGGGAGGCAGCAGUGGGGAAUAUUGCGCAAUGGGCGAAAGCCUGACGCAGCGACGCCGCGUGGGGGAUGAAGCUUUUCGGAGUGUAAACCCCUUUCGACCCGGACGAAUGGCCCGCAAGGGACGUGGACGGUACGGGUAUAAGAAGCCCCGGCUAACUACGUGCCAGCCGCCGCGGUAAC